AACUUUCAACAACGGAUCUCUUGGUUCUGGCAUCGAUGAAGAACGCAGCGAAAUGCGAUAAGUAAUGUGAAUUGCAGAAUUCAGUGAAUCAUCGAAUCUUUGAACGCACAUUGCGCCCUCUGGUAUUCCGGAGGGCAUGCCUGUUCGAGCGUCAUUAC
rnacentral:rRNA from 1 species